CCUACGGGAGGCAGCAGUGGGGAAUAUUGGGCAAUGGGCGCAAGCCUGACCCAGCAACGCCGCGUGAAGGAAGAAGGCUUUCGGGUUGUAAACUUCUUUUCUCAGGGACGAAGCAAGUGACGGUACCUGAGGAAUAAGCCACGGCUAACUACGUGCCAGCAGCCGCGGUAAUACGUAGGUGGCAAGCGUUAUCCGGAUUUACUGGGUGGAAAGGGCGGGUAGGCGGGAAAGCAAGUCAGAUGUGAAAGCCAUGGGCUCAACCUGUGGACUGCAUUUGAAACUGUUUGUCUUGAGUGCUGGAGAGGCAGACGGAAUUCCUAGUGUAGCGGUGAAAUGCGUAGAUAUUAGGAGGAACACCAGUGGCGAAGGCGGUCUGCUGGACAGCAACUGACGCUGAGGCGCGAAAGCGUGGGGAGCAAACAGGAUUAGAUACCCCAGUAGUC
rnacentral:rRNA from 1 species